rnacentral:rRNA from 1 species
UACGGGGGGGGCAAGCGUUGUUCGGAAUUACUGGGCGUAAAGGGCUCGUAGGUGGCCAACUAAGUCAUACGUGAAAUCCCUCGGCUUAACCGGGGAACUGCGUCUGAUACUGGAUGGCUUGAGUUCGGGAGAGGGAUGCGGAAUUCCAGGUGUAGCGGUGAAAUGCGUAGAUAUCUGGAGGAACACCGGUGGCGAAGGCGGCAUCCUGGACCGAUACUGACGCUGAGGAGCGAAAGCCAGGGGAGCAAACGGG